GAUUAUGGCUCAGGAUGAACGCUGGCGGCGUGUUAACACAUGCAAGUCGAGCGAGAAGCUCAUGACAGAUACUUCGGUUGAUGGAUUGAGUGGAAAGCGGCGGACGGGUGAGUAACGCGUAGGCAACCUGCCCCGUGCAGAGGGAUAGCCUCGGAAAACCGGGAUUAAAACCUCAUAAUGCGUGACUGAGACAUCUCAGAUACGCCAAAGAUUUAUCGGCACGGGAUGGGCCUGCGUCUGAUUAGUUAGUUGGUGGGGUAACGGCCUACCAAGGCGACGAUCAGUAGCCGACCUGAGAGGGUGAUCGGCCACAUUGGAACUGAGACACGGUCCAAACUCCUACGGGAGGCAGCAGUGGAGAAUCUUGCACAAUGGGCGAAAGCCUGAUGCAGCAACGCCGCGUGAAGGAUGAAGGCCCUUGGGUCGUAAACUUCUGUUCUAAGGGAAGAUAAUGACGGUACCUUAGGAGCAAGUCCCGGCUAACUACGUGCCAGCAGCGGC
rnacentral:rRNA from 1 species